GUGCCAGCAGCCGCGGUAAGACGAGCCACCCGAACGUUAUUCGGAAUUACUGGGCUUAAAGGGUGCGUAGGCGGUGUAGCAAGUCGGGAGUGAAAUACCUCAGCUUAACUGAGGAACUGCUUUCGAUACUGCUAUGCUUGAGUGAGACAGAGGUAAGCGGAACUUAGGGUGGAGCGGUGAAAUGCGUUGAUAUCCUAAGGAACACCGGUGGCGAAGGCGGCUUACUGGGUCUCUACUGACGCUGAGGCACGAAAGCCAGGGUAGCAAACGGGAUUAGAUACCCGGGUAGUCC
rnacentral:rRNA from 1 species